GCAUCAAUGGGGUAGUGGUAACCUGGGUCGUUGCCAUUUGGGACUUGCGUUUGUCUCGACCCGCCGGGGGUUCGAUUCCCUCUUGAUGCA